UACAUGUGGGGCAAGCGUUGUUCGGAAUUACUGGGCAUAAAGGGUGCGUAGGCGGGUCUUUAAGUCAGGGGUGAAAUCCUGGAGCUCAACUCCAGAACUGCCUUUGAUACUGGUGAUCUUGAGUCCGGGAGAGGUGAGUGGAACUGCGAGUGUAGAGGUGAAAUUCGUAGAUAUUCGCAAGAACACCAGUGGCGAAGGCGGCUCACUGGCCCGGUACUGACGCUGAGGUGCGAAAGCGUGGGGAGCAAACAGG
rnacentral:rRNA from 1 species